UGAUGCAGCAACGCCGCGUGAGGGAUGACGGCCUUCGGGUUGUAAACCUCUUUUAGCAGGGAAGAAGCGAAAGUGACGGUACCUGCAGAAAAAGCGCCGGCUAACUACGUGCCAGCAGCCGCGGUAAUACGUAGGGCGCAAGCGUUAUCCGGAAUUAUUGGGCGUAAAGAGCUCGUAGGCGGUUUGUCGCGUCUGCUGUGAAAUCCCGAGGCUCAACCUCGGGCCUGCAGUGGGUACGGGCAGACUAGAGUGCGGUAGGGGAGAUUGGAAUUCCUGGUGUAGCGGUGGAAUGCGCAGAUAUCAGGAGGAACACCGAUGGCGAAGGCAGAUCUCUGGGCCGUAACUGACGCUGAGGAGCGAAAGGGUGGGGAGCAAACAGGCUUAGAUACCCUGGUAGUCCACCCCGUAAACGUUGGGAACUAGUUGUGGGGUCCAUUCCACGGAUUCCGUGACGCAGCUAACGCAUUAAGUUCCCCGCCUGGGGAGUACGGCCGCAAGGCUAAAACUCAAAGGAAUUGACGGGGACCCGCACAAGCGGCGGAGCAUGCGGAUUAAUUCGAUGCAACGCGAAGAACCUUACCAAGGCUUGACAUAUACGAGAACGGGCCAGAAAUGGUCAACUCUUUGGACACUCGUAAACAGGUGGUGCAUGGUUGUCGUCAGCUCGUGUCGUGAGAUGUUGGGUUAAGUCCCGCAACGAGCGCAACCCUCGUUCUAUGUUGCCAGCACGUAAUGGUGGGAACUCAUGGGAUACUGCCGGGGUCAACUCGGAGGAAGGUGGGGAUGACGUCAAAUCAUCAUGCCCCUUAUGUCUUGGCUUCACGCAUGCUACAAUGGCCCGGUACAAGGGCUG
rnacentral:rRNA from 2 species